CUGUUGGGCUGUUGUAAAUUACUCUCUUCACAGAGGGCAAGAGGCUGUAAGUGGCACAGGUGUGCCACCACUUAACCACCCUCACCACAGGCUGCGGCUCUUGGGAGAGCUGGCUAGCAAUGUAGUCAAGGGAAAAAAUAAAAGGAGGAAGACUUCUCUUUGCUAAGGGCACAUCAGCAAGCCUUGCAAGUGCCAGAGUUUUUGUAUCUCGCCAAGGAGUACAGCAGGAGGUGCUGCUGGGAGCUGGUGCUGCACAAGCAAGUUCUGAGCAUGUUUGCUGUUCUUCCUGUGAGUUGCAGCCCGUGUGGCCCAUAGCGAGUUAAACCUCUGAAUCUCUACUGUGCUGCACCACUCCAUGUCUGCCUGUCCUUCAGGUCAAAGGCUUUUGUCCUGCUGUGGGAGGAGGCUAAACACUGCGGGCAGUACUGGCAGGACUUCUGCUUUCCCAAGGCUGUCAGGUGUAACUUAUUUCUCAAGGCAACGACAGUUACUGUUUGCAGCUGAUACCCAGUCACUCCAUUAGACAGCAAAAGCCCUGCAGCAAGCGUUCUGUUUUGUGGUAAGCUCAUGAUACAGUCACAGUAAGGAGAUACCUCAGGGGUGCUUUGAAGACGUUGCAGGUGCGAUUCUUCGCUAAACAACAGAUACAGCGUGGCAAGUGUUGAUAGAUAUUAACAUCAGUGCAGGUGUAGAACUUACACCAUAUGCAGAACCAGCACUUUCUUGCAGUCCCUGGGCUGAUGGGGAAACCCCUCUGUCUCAAAGCAAGCCACAUGUGAGGGUUUUGAACCAGCAUGCUCAAUAGAGACCUGUGAUAUCCACAUCUAAAUCUGCUCUGGUUACGCUCAGUACUCAAUUAGCAUGCUUCCACUUGGGUGUUUAUGAUUUUUGGUGCAUCGGUUGUUCCUUCUAUACUGCUGAAUCAGUAAGGCUGCCUGGCUGUUGCCACAGUGGAAGGUGUAUUUAAUUCAGUGACUGUGCUGUGACAUACAAAGAGGUGUUGUUUCUGAGAGCUCUUCUAGUCAUGGAUUCUGAAGAACUACAACCAGAAAGCUGUUAGUUUCAAACGCUUUGCAUAUCCCUAGCUUGCUCUUACAGAUUUCCGUAACCACCAGGAAUGCUGGAUGCCAGGGAGGAUGCAGAACCCAAGGAAAUCAAAAGGAGCCAUGAGUGUACUCUACAGGGCAAUGGCAGUAUUUGCCAGCUAUGGCUGCAAUACGUAUACACGGAAAGGAGAAAGUACAUGAAGUUCUACUUAAGGUUUUCCUAUGAGCUUCUACGGUUUUCUCUGGGAGCAUCACGAAGAGUUAGGCAACUCCAGAUUGAAAGACCCUGGCCUCAAGGGCUGAAGAAUAGAGCUACAUUGUAACAUCCUGAUACUUGCUGACAAUUUUCUCCCUUAAUAAAACGUUGCCGCUGUCCUCUCCAUUUAUAGCAUCAAAGAGAACCCUUCUAACCUCCUAAAUCCUGUUUUAGUGUCGUAGGCUACAGAUUAUUAGCCAAAGCACAACUGCAUUUGAUGUAGUUAUAUCAGGAAGAAACAUAAGUAACAUUUAUAAUGCAGAAAUACUUAAAAAAAUUUAUUAAAAUUUAUUAAAAUAUGUUUAAAAUUAAAAUUUAAAGCAUUUAAACUUCUGUGUGAGCUCCGAGGCAGCUCUGUCUUUGUGUAUUACUGAAUACGAAAUGCUGAGAGGAAUUGAUGUGGCGGUCUCCUUUUUCUCUAGUUACCCUCCUGCAGCACAGCGCAGCCCGCUGCCCCUACAGGACAGCCUGCUUCAUGACGUUGUCCCUCAAGAUCUCAUUCCACUGUUAAUUUUUUUGUUGUUGUUGUUAGAAUAAAACACCUUGAAGUCCUGCUCUGACUUACUGCCUUCCUGACUUUGCCCUGCAACUCCGAGUAACACCCUGCGUGUGUACUUCACGUCAAAGUAAACUCGAGUUAAAAACACGCUAUUUGCGAAGUCAUUUAAGGACGGAUGAGAUCGGUGUUGCCCUCGCACUACUUACUGCAAUGUUUCUGACUGCAAAUUGCCCCAGAGCAGCUCUCUGGGCAGCAUGCUUUCUGCCACCUCAGGCGCUGCCGUCACCCCGCAGGCGUAAAGCUGCCGUACGCGCCCGUGAGACACCGUGAGAAAGCUCUCCUUUCUGCCGCUCUCUCAGGGGCUUUGUCUGGGCUUGGAGGCGGCCCGCGAGGAGGCAGCCGGGCUGCCGGG
ensembl:lncRNA